GAGAUCUCUCUGCAUCCUGGCACCAAACCCAAACCAGUAACUCUGGGACAUUCUUGACUGAGGGUUAACCUCAGAAACCUGGUAAUCCAUAUGAUCCCACAGCUAUGCCUCAUGGCCCAAAGGGCAGGAUUUCAUCUCCACCGUCCUUUUCUUCAACGUGAAGGGCUGUUGACCCUACUCACAGAGGGCUCUGUGUUGAACCAAGGUGCUUCAUGCAACAGUCCCAGCUGAGCUCCCAGCAGAUGCCAGCACCAUUCGCUAUCCAUGAUAAGCCUCUGAUGCAAUCACUUGUGUUAAGAAAUUGAGAGAAUGUUGAUAUAAACUGCUCCCUGAGCCAUAUGGAAAGCUGUAUCUUCUGCAGGUUGCUUGGUGAGUAUGCA
rnacentral:lncRNA from 1 species